rnacentral:rRNA from 1 species
UCCGUAGGCGGUGUGGCAAGUCGGUAGUGAAAUCUCUCGGCUUAACUGAGAGGCUGCUGCCGAAACUGCCAUGCUCGAGUGCGAGAGAGGCGAGUGGAAUUACGGGUGUAGCGGUGAAAUGCGUAGAUAUCCGUAGGAACAUCCGAGGCGAAAGCGGCUCGCUGGAUCGCAACUGACGCUGAGGGACGAAAGCUAGGGGAGCAAACAGGAUUAGAUACCCUGGUAGUCCUAGCCCUAAACCAUCAGGACUUGGGGUUUGCCCUGUACGGGGCAGGUCCCGGAGCUAACGCGUUAAGUCCUGCGCCUGGGGAGUACGGUCGCAAGGCUGAA